rnacentral:lncRNA from 1 species
UAGUCAAUUUCAAACAUUACAACACAAUCAAUACAAUCCAAUCUCACACUCCAUUAGCACAUUCCACAUGGCUUGUGAUUAACAUUCAAUAGCAGCUCACAAUCAAUUCCAUGUGGCCUACGAUUAACACUUCCAAUCACCUGCAAAAUUCCAAACUCAGUUAUAAACCAUCCAACGUUGACCAACCAUCAUGCCCACCACAAGCCAAGGCAAAACCAGUCCAAGCUGCACAAAGUGAAAGGGUGCAUUUUCAUGACAGAAAACCACAACAUAAUCCACCUGCAAAAUUUGCAAGUCAGUCCCACAUAGCAGCUCAUUUUGAAGUAGCAUUCCCAAAACUCAGUUAAUUUCGUUCCAACUUGUAAAUGCAUAACAUGGCGCAAGUCCAAUUCAACCUAAAACAGGGAACUCGAUUAAACAUUCAAUCUACAAACAGAGGUUUUCAAACCAAUUACAACCAACCUGCAAGUCCUAACAGAAAAUGAAUUUUAACCAAUUAACAUAAACAUCACAUAUUUUACUAAAUCCAAUUCACUCUUUCAUUAACAGAUUAACCUCACUCUAACUAACCUAGAUAAGCACACGCGGAAUCACAAUCAUCCACUAAUAGAAUUUGCAUUUACUAACAUAAUUAACAACAUUUCGUUUCACACUCCAAUUAACUCUAAUAGAUUUUCUAAUUUAUAACUAACUCAAUGUGAAUUUUAGAUGAAUUUGCAUUUUCAUUUCUAACUGAAUUUGAGAACCAAAACUCUAUAAAUGUCAAUCACUCUUCAAUCACAUAGAUUCAUGAUUCAUUUUUCACUACUCUCAGAUUUUCGAGAUUUAUUCUCUCAUAACCUUCCUCUUCACCCUCACCUAGAGCUCCUUCUUCGACAUAAUCAAU